rnacentral:rRNA from 1 species
GACGAACGCUGGCGGCGUGCUUAACACAUGCAAGUCGAACGGAAAGGCCCUGCUUUUGUGGGGUGCUCGAGUGGCGAACGGGUGAGUAACACGUGAGUAACCUGCCCUUGACUUUGGGAUAACUUCAGGAAACUGGGGCUAAUACCGGAUAGGAGCUCCUGCUGCAUGGUGGGGGUUGGAAAGUUUCGGCGGUUGGGGAUGGACUCGCGGCUUAUCAGCUUGUUGGUGGGGUAGUGGCUUACCAAGGCUUUGACGGGUAGCCGGCCUGAGAUGGUGACCGGCCACAUUGGGACUGAGAUACGGCCCAGACUCCUACGGGAGUCAGCAGUGGGGAAUAUUGCACAAUGGGCGGAAGCCUGAUGCAGCAACGCCGCGUGCGGGAUGACGGCCUUCGGGUUGUAAACCGCUUUCGCCUGUGACGAAGCGUGAGUGACGGUAAUGGGUAAAGAAGCACCGGCUAACUACGUG